rnacentral:lncRNA from 13 species
AUGACUUUGAAUAUUUCACAACAUCUUUAUCUAGCACUUGUGACAUACAGACAAUGGAUUUUAUUGUAUUUAUGUAGAAAAACUGUUUUAGGGAAACUAAAGACAGGGGACAACUGCAUAGACCAAUUCAUUUUUCUUUGGGGGGGGGGGGUGUUAUCAUUUGAGGGACGGACGGGUUUUGUUUCGAGACAUCUGGAGAUAUCAAAGGGCUCUGUCCAGAUGAAUGGUCUAUAUCGUCGUCAGGGUUGUCCAUUCCAUUUCAGCCAGUAAUAUCUGUGACCACUGUGGUUUAGAAAAAAAAGAACAGUUCUAGGUUUACAAAAUGUAUGACAUGCAUAUUCUGUUUUUUUAAUUGUCUUUAUCUCUCCAUUGUUACAGAAUAGUACUUUUUUCCUGGGUCCUUUCCUCUAACAUUUUCUCUUUGACAUCUACACUAUAAAAUCUAAUGUUUUGGAAAAAAAACACUGUCUUGUUGUUAUUUCCUGGUUGGAUAUGGUCCAGAUGAAUGGUCUUUGGUUGAACAAAAAAAGGAAAGGCUAAGUGAUUGUAAUGCAAACUCGAGGCCCAUGUUGAAUCAUACAUGAAUCGGUACUUGAGUCAUGUACCCAGAUACUCACAAACUUCAGAUAGGACAUAUAGUGCCUUCAGAAAGUAUUCACACCCCUUUUUCCUGAAUGUAUUACCUGUAGAUGUUGUGUCACUGAUCUACACACAAUACCCCAUAAUGUCAAAGUGGAAUUUUGUUUAUAGAACAUUUAAGAAAUGUAUCGAAAAUUAAAGCUGAAAUGUCUUGAGUCAGUAAGUAUUCAACCCCUUUGUUAUGGCAAGCCUAAAUAAGUUCAGGAGUAAAAUGUGCUUAAAAAAUUACAUAAUAAGUUUGCAUGGACUCAUUCAGUGUUCAAUAAUAGUGUUUUUUUAUAAUUAGGCUUUGAAUGGUGUAUCAAUUCACCCAGUUACUACAAAGAUACAGGCGUCCUUCCUAACUCAGUUGCCGGAGAGGAAGGAAACCGCUCAGGGAUUUCACCAUGAGGCCGAUGAUGACUUUGAAACAGAGUUUAAUGGUUGUGAUAUGAGAAAACUGAGGAUGGAUCAACAACAUUGUAGUUACUCCACAAUACUAACCUUAAUGUCAGAGUGAAAAGAAGAAAGUCUGUACAGAAUAAAAAAUAAUCCAAAACAUGCAACAAGGCACUUCAGUAAUACUGCAAAAAAAAAGUGGCAAAGAAAUGUACUUUUUGUCCUGAAUACAAAGCAUUAUGUUUGGGGCAAAUCCAACACAUCACUGAGAACCACUCUUCAUAUUUUCAAGAAUGGUGGUGGCUGCAUCAUGUUAAGGGUAUGCGUGUCAUCGGUAAGUACUAGGGAGAAAUUGAAUACAGCUAUAAGCACAGACAAAAUCCUAGAAAACCUGGUUCAAUUUGCUUUCCAACAGACACUGGGAGACAAAUUCAUCUUUCAGUAGGACAAUAACCUAAAACACAAGGCCAAAUCUACGCUGUUGCUAACCAAGACAACAUUGAAUGUUCCUGAGUGGCCUAGUUACAGUUUUGACUUAAAUUGCCAAGAGAAUCUAUGGCAAGACUUCAAAAUGGCUGUCUAGCACUGAUCAACAAUCAACUUGACAGAGCUUGAAUUUUAAAAAAUAAAAAAGAGCAAAUAUUGUACAAUCCAGGUGUGAAAAGCUCUUAGCGACUUACCCAAAAAGACUCACAGCUGUAAUCACUGCCAAAGGUGCAUCUACAAAGUAUUGACUUGGUGGUGUGAACACUUCUGUAAAUGAGAUAUUUCUGUAUUUCAUUUUCAAUAAACAUUUCUAAAACAUGUUUUCACUUAGUCAUUAUGGGGUAUUGUGUGUAGAUGGGUGAGAGAAAACAAAUCCAUUUUGAAUUCAGGCUGUAACACAACAUGUGGAGUAAGUCAAGGGGGUAUGAAUAUUUUCAGAAAUUAUAGUUCUAUAAUAUGUCAAUUGUGAUGAGUUAACCCACAAAGUACAUGCAUGGAAGGCAUUUCUUAGCCGCUGUGAUGUCGCAAGUCAGCUUUUUGUUGUUAUAAAUCUGUGACCAAGCAAAUAGUAGAGGAACACAUUCGUUAUGCUGGAAGUGGUUCGAGAAUGUCUAGGGGACAUUUUUCACCCUGUCCCAGUGUAUGAGAAAACACAUUCCAAUCCACACUUCAACCAAAACAUUUUGCACUGAUCUUGAAAACGAGGUGACCCCCUGUGAAUACUUACAAAUUCGUUCUACCACUGCAACUAAAUAAAUGUUAUGCUUCAAUAUAGGAAUACCUUCCUUUCUCCUUUGAAAUUCAUUCUAGAUCUGAAAGGGAUGAAUUGAUGAAACCGAAAGCCAGAAACCUCUUUUUUACUUAUCAGUAACCAUUUAUAUAUAUAUAUUGUGAAUGUCAAUAAGCAAUCUCUAAAUAGUCAUUUACACAUUUAUAAACACUUCAAUU